AGUGAACGCUGGCGGUAGGCCUAACACAUGCAAGUCGAACGGCAGCACAGUAAGAGCUUGCUCUUACGGGUGGCGAGUGGCGGACGGGUGAGGAAUACAUCGGAAUCUACUUUUUCGUGGGGGAUAACGUAGGGAAACUUACGCUAAUGCCGCAUACGACCUACGGGUGAAAGCAGGGGAUCUUCGGACCUUGCGCGAUUGAAUGAGCCGAUGUCGGAUUAGCUAGUUGGCGGGGUAAAGGCCCACCAAGGCGACGAUCCGUAGCUGGUCUGAGAGGAUGGUCAGCCACACUGGAACUGAGACACGGUCCAGACUCCUACGGGAGGCAGCAGUGGGGAAUAUUGGACAAUGGGCGCAAGCCUGAUCCAGCCAUACCGCGUGGGUGAAGAAGGCCUUCGGGUUGUAAAGCCCUUUUGUUGGGAAAGAAAAGCAGCAGGUUAAUACCCCGCUGUUCUGACGGUACCCAAAGAAUAAGCACCGGCUAACUUCGUG
rnacentral:rRNA from 1 species